GGAGAUUAAUACCGCAUAACAUUAGUUUUUCGCAUGGAGAACUAAUUAAAGGAGCAAUCCGCUUUGAGAUGGACCCGCGGCGCAUUAGCUAGUUGGUGAGGUAAAGGCUCACCAAGGCGACGAUGCGUAGCCGACCUGAGAGGGUGAUCGGCCACAUUGGAACUGAGACACGGUCCAGACUCCUACGGGAGGCAGCAGUGGGGAAUAUUGCACAAUGGGCGAAAGCCUGAUGCAGCAACGCCGCGUGAGUGAUGAAGGCCUUCGGGUUGUAAAGCUCUGUCUUUUGGGACGAUAAUGACGGUACCAAAGGAGGAAGCCACGGCUAACUACGUGCCAGCAGCCGCGGUAAUACGUAGGUGGCGAGCGUUGUCCGGAUUUACUGGGCGUAAAGGAUGCGUAGGCGGAUUUUUAAGUGAGAUGUGAAAUACCCGGGCUUAACUUGGGUGCUGCAUUUCAAACUGGAAGUCUAGAGUGCGGGAGAGGAGAGUGGAAUUCCUAGUGUAGCGGUGAAAUGCGUAGAGAUUAGGAAGAACACCAGUGGCGAAGGCGACUCUCUGGACCGUAACUGACGCUGAGGCAUGAAAGCGUGCGUAGCAAACAGGAUUAGAUACCCUGGUAG
rnacentral:rRNA from 1 species